GGAGGGUUCCGCUAGGAAGGCUGGCAACUGGUCUUGAAAACCAGGGGAACCGAAAGGUUAGGGGUUCGACUCCUCAACCCUCCGCCA
rnacentral:tRNA from 2 species